UACGUAGGGGGCAAGCGUUGUCCGGAAUUAUUGGGCGUAAAGCGCGCGCAGGCGGUCUUUUAGGUCUGAUGUGAAAGCCCACGGCUUAACCGUGGAGGGUCAUUGGAAACUGGAGGACUUGAGUGCAGAAGAGGAGAGUGGAAUUCCACGUGUAGCGGUGAAAUGCGUAGAGAUGUGGAGGAACACCAGUGGCGAAGGCGACUCUCUGGUCUGUAACUGACGCUGAGGCGCGAAAGCGUGGGUAGCGAACAGG
rnacentral:rRNA from 1 species